AGCAUCUCUCAAUGCGGUCCUCCCUGUUUUCCAUCUGUGUUGCCUGUUAUUCUUUUGGGGGGUCCUGGUUUUCUUUUGGGAGAAAGGUGGUGUCAGUGUUGAACCCGGAGCCUCCCCCGGUCAGGUAUGUGAUGCCGUUGCCAGACAGACCACCCUACGCCCUCGAUGGAGAUGACGCCAGAGCCUGAAGGCGAUGUUUUUCCCUUGGACUGCGUGGCUGGCGAGAUGGUAACGCCAAGGCGGGGAGCAGCUUCACAGCUCAUCGCCCUCAGCCCAGCAACCGCCUGAGACCCGCCGUGCCCGUUCCAAGCGCUCACUGGCUGCCCGCUGCCUCUCUGCCAGGGGUGGGGAGCAGCGUGGGGGCUCCUCGGGGACCCACGGGCUUCCCUCCGCCAUCCUCCGAGGCGGCCUGUCCCCACACACACGUGUCUGGGAAAGUGCUGAGGUCGCAGUCAAAAAGUAUCGUCAAUGAAGAUCUGUCUGUGCAGCUAAAUAAAGCGCUCAUGGAGAAAGCUCUAAAUGAAGCAGUGAAUGAGCACCAUGUAACCAGACAGCUAUAAACCUUCAGCUGCAGACCUCUGACAGGAGUCUAUAGACCACCAGUUUGGGAGACCUCUGCUUUAAACCUCUAAAUGAUUCAACAUUUAUUCCAUCUGAUGACACCACGAAUCUGGGAAUGAAGAACUUCUUAGUGCUGAUUGGAAAUGGCAUUGCGGAGCUGAAACUUAACUGGAGGAAAUAUAUCUCCUGAAGAAGAAAAUAUAAUGCACUGUAAGGAUCUGACUUCUGGUGAAAAAUUCAAGCCUAGAGAAAGCUUGUCCGCUUUGUUAGGAAGAAUGGGUUGGACAAUUUUCUUCAAUUCCAAAGGAUAUCUGAAUGCCAUGCUGAGCUUAAUCUCUGCAGCAUGCUCUGUGCUUCUCAUCUCUUCCUGAUGCACUGCAUGGUUAUCCUGAAGGGGAGGAUAAAGAAACUGGCCACCAAGAUGGUAAUCACUAGUGGAAAUGAAGAAGAUAAAGGCAGUCAAGAAAAGGAAAGCAAAGAAGAGACCAUCUUGGCAAUGCUUGGAAUUAUUGGGACAAUUCUGAACCUCAUUGUGAUCAUUUUUGUGUAUAUUUACACAACAUUGUAAACUAGAAGGCAUGCAAAUAGACCAGAUAAAACGGCCAUUGAGUGACUACAAACAUUUGCUGACUAUUGACAAGUUGUUUAAUCAGAAUUGACUGUGUAUUAUAUUAACACAUCAUAAAAGCACUGCCCGCAGGCAGCGAAGGCUGAAGCACAAUUAAUUUAACAAGACUUUUUCACACAGUAACAAGCUUAACUCUUCUGUCCUGCCCUCUUCCUUUCGGUUUGGGGGAAAAUGACUGCAAUUAUGUAAGUUGUAGCUUGGAAGAAGUCCACCUGGGAUAUGUUGUUUUAACACAAUUUAAAAAGAAAAAAAAAAAAAGAGAGAAACUGUACACUAUAUACAACUAGAAAUGUAUACUGUAUACCCGCAAAGAUCGAACUCAAAGAUAGCUUCAUAGCACAGACCACGUGUCCGUUAGGUCAAAUGAUUUUUUUUCUCUUGGUUUUUGCUUUUGCUUACAUUGAAUCUGACAAGCUUUUUAUUUAGAAUGAACAUAUGGUGCAAUCAGGAAAAAAAAACAAUUCCAUUGAGCAAGGUCCGCCUAAACCUGAUAAAAUGUUGGGAGAAAUACGUUACAUGAUUAUUUUUCCUUUCUCAUUUGCUUAACAUCUGUGUCUGUUCAUACCAAUGUUUAUAAAUAUAUAUUUUUAAUAAAUGUGCUAUAUUUUUAGCAUGAACCAAA